UGAAGUAAGUAAGGGCGUACGGUGAAUGCCUUGGUGCCAACAGGCGAAGAAGGACGCGGCAAGCUGCGAAAAGCCUCGGGAAGCUGCAAGCAAGCGAUGAUCCGGGGAUAUCCGAAUGGGGUAACCUGAUCGAGGCAAUACUCGAUCGUUCAUACCUGAAUACAUAGGGUAUGAAACGCGAAACCCGCUGAAGUGAAACAUCUCAGUAAGCGGAGGAAAAGAAAGAGAAAUCGAUUCCGUAAGUAGUGGCGAGCGAAAGCGGAUGGAGCCCAAACCGAAGGUAUUCCUUCGGGGUUGUAGGACCACGUCAUAUUCGACCAUACUGGAUAGUAGAACAGCCUGGAAAGGCUGGCCGGAGAAGGUGAAAGCCCUGUAGACGAAAUCCAGAGUGGGAAUUAGUGGUAUCCUGAGUAAUACAUCACACGUGGAACGAUGUAUGAACCCGCGCGGACCACCGCGCAAGGCUAAAUACUAGUUGGCGACCGAUAGUGAACAAGUACCGCGAGGGAAAGGUGAAAAGAACCGCUGUGAGCGGAGUGAAAUAGAACCUGAAACCGUAUGUCUACAAAGUGUCAGAGCAGAGCAAUCUGCGAUGGCGUGCCUUUUGUUUAAUGAGUCUGCGAGUCAGUGUUUGUGGCAAGACUAAGGGCUUCCGGCCCGGAGUCGCAGCGAAAGCAAGUCCGAACAGGGCGCAAUAAGUCGCAGGUACUGGACCCGAAGCGGAGGUGACCUACCCUUGGCCAGGUUGAAGCAUGGGUAAAACCAUGUGGAGGACCGAACAGGUGAACGUUGAAAAGUUCUCUGAUGAGCUGAGGGUAGGAGUGAAAGGCUAAUCAAACCCCGUGAUAGCUGGUUCUCUUCGAAAUGCAUUUAGGUGCAGCGUCACGUGCUGAUGCGCGGGGGUAGAGCACUGACAAGGCUAGGGGGCACACCCGCUUACCAAACCUUAUCAAACUCCGAAUACCGUGCAAUGGAACGUGGCAGUGAGACAGUGGGGGAUAAGCUUCAUUGUCGAGAGGGAAACAACCCAGACCAGCAGCUAAGGUGCCUAAAUAACGCUCAGUGGAAAGGAUGUGGGAUUACACAGACAGUGAGGAUGUUGGCUUAGAAGCAGCCACCAUUUAAAAAAUGCGUAAUAGCUUACUCAUCGAGUGAUCCUGCGCCGAAAAUGAUUGGCGAUCAAGCGUUAUACCGAAGCUCUGGACUUUGCCGCAAGGCAGAGUGGUAGAAGAGCGUUGCAUGCGCGUCGAAGGGCGAUGGCGACUGACCCUGGAGCACAUGCAAGUGAGUAUGCAGACAUGAGUAACGUUAAGCCGGGUGAAAUCCCCGGCCGCCGUAAACCCGAGGUUUCCAGGGCAACGUGUUUCGUCCCUGGGUUAGCCGGGACCUAAGCCGAGGCCGAGAGGCGUAGGCGAUGGACAUCAGGUUAAUAAUCCUGAGCUCGCAACCCUUAAACUGGGGGGACGCAUGAGAAAAGAUGACUAGGUUAUUGAAUUCCGAGUUGAGUCCACGGACUCAGCGCAUCAUUGGAUCGAGUGCCAAGAAAAGCCCCAGCGUAUGCUAAGCGACCCGUACCGCAAACCGACACAGGUGGGUGGGUAGAAUAUACCAAGGCGUAAGAGUGAAACCUGGUUAAGGAACUCGGCAAAAUAACCCCGUAACUUCGGAAGAAGGGGUGCCUGCAGCGAUGCAGGCCGCAGAGAAAUGGCCCAACCGACUGUUUAUCAAAAACACAGCACUCUGCAAAGACGCAAGUCGAAGUAUAGGGUGUGACACGUGACCAAUGCCGAAAGAUUAAGGCAAGGGGUUAGCCGCAAGGCGAAGCUCUAAACCCAAGUCCCGGUGAAUGUCGGCCGUAACUAUAACGGUCCUAAGGUAGCGAAAUUCCUUGUCGGGU
rnacentral:rRNA from 1 species